AGAGCUACACCCUCAAAAAUCAACUGCAAAAUUAGGUGUUGUGCUCGGCUAAAAAGCGGUAGGCACGCCUGUGGUUUGCACCCAAUGCUUGAUCACAUGCCGUGUGAUUUCAAAAAGAAAUGCUUCCAGGGUGUGUGCACAAGAGAAAAA